AUUGAACGCUGGCGGCAUGCUUUACACAUGCAAGUCGAACGGUAACAGGCCGCAAGGUGCUGACGAGUGGCGAACGGGUGGGUAAUGCAUCGGAACGUGCCCAGUCGUGGGGGAUAACUACUCUAAAGAGUAGCUAAUACCGCAUACGAUCUAUGGAUGAAAGCGGGGGACCGGAAGGCCUCGCGCGAUUGGAGCGGCCGAUGUCAGAUUAGGUAGUUGGUGGGGUAAAGGCUCACCAAGCCAACGAUCUGUAGCUGGAGUGAGAGGACGAACACCCACAUUGGGACUUGAACAGGGCCCAGAGUCCUACGGGAGGCAGCAGUGGGGAAUGUUGGACAAUGGGCGCAAGCCUGAUCCAGCAAUGCCGCGUGCAGGAAGAAGGCCUUCGGGUUGUAAACUGCUUUUGUACGGAACGAAACGGCUCUGGUUAAUACCCGGGGCUAAUGACGGUACCGUAAGAAUAAGCACCGGCUAACUACGUG
rnacentral:rRNA from 1 species